UUUCCUGCUAGAAAACAAAAAAGGUGUCUGCAUUGAACAAGAUGGCCGACACAGCACUCACGCUCGAAGAUUUGACCAAAUUAAAGGUUACAGAACUAAAGAAAGAAUUAAAAGAUAGAGGUCUGGCUGUUUCUGGAUCUAAAGCUGAACUAUUGACAAGAUUACAAGAAGCUCUUGAACUUCAAGAAGAUACAUCUGAUACAGAACAAGAAAUAAACUUAGAAGAUACUUUAGGUGAAGAUGUAGAGGAAACAGAAGAUAAGACGUUAUCACCACCUCCAAUAAAGAAGAUUGCACUUAGUCCAAAAGACUCAGAUAAACCGGAAGCUGGUGAAAAAAAAGUUGUUGUUGGUGGGGGUUUGACUGAAGAAGAGAGAUUGAAAAAACGAGCUGAGAAAUUUGGAAUUCAAUCAGAAGAAGCCAGAAAAAAGUUGAGAGCAGAGAGGUUUGGUUUACCUGCAGAAAGUACAAAAAGUGGAGGAGGAAAAAUAGCUAGCACACCUGUACAGCCUGGUGAUUUAGACAAGUUAAAACAGAGAGCUGAAAGAUUUGGUACAGUUGUUUCAAAUAAACUAUCUAAGUUAGAAGAAGAGGCACGAAUAGAAAAAAGAAAAGAAAGAUUUGGUACAGCUAUAACUACUACAACUAAUAACACUACCACUGUUACUACGGCCACCAGUAAAUUAACAGGCAGCGUGGAAGAUUUAGUAAAAAAAAAGAAAAAGGGCUGAAAGAUUUGGUUUAACGUAAACACUCCAUUAAGUGUCCAUUUUAUCAUUUAUUCAUUUGUAUGAGGUGAUUGGGUUGACCUAUUCAUGUAUUUUAAUUUCCUGUCAUGUUUUUUUACUGCUGUAAAUUUGUUAGAUCAAAAAAAUCUAAAUUGUAAAGUUUUAAUGAUAAAAUUACCAAUCUGAUUUAAACACAGAUACUAUUUCAUUUGUUUUUUUAUUAUAGUUCAAAAAUUCAUUUUACUUCUCAUUACUAAGACUUCUUAAAGAACCCGCGUUAUGGUUGAUGUAAGGGAUUAGCCAAUGAAGCGGUCUGUUGCAGCGAGUUCUUGACGUGCAGUGCAGGGAACUGUGGGUAUUCUACUAGAAACAUCAACGCUAAUUGGUUAAUCAAAUGUCUGACGUCAUAGGGUCAAAAGUCGCUUGUAUGACCUCUGACAUGACCUCCCACUACAACUGGUCAGAUCUUCAUGUAGUAAAGGCCAUUGAAAUUAUAAAGAAAUGAAACAAAAUAUAGAUCUGUAUUUUAAUCAGACUGUAAAAUUAUAAAUAUGUAAAUAAAAUUUACAAUUAAUAUUCAUCAAAUUAAUAACGACCAGAUAGUCAUUAGACCAGUCAUUAGACCAGUAUUUUGUUAAAUUAUUUUUGAAGAAAAUUUUUGAAUCAUUCAUUUACGAUACGCUUGAAGUUUUUAAAUGACAAUAUAUAAUUCAAAAAAUGUUGUUUUUCAGUUGACUUGAUAGAAAUGAUUAUCAAUUUAAUAUAGAGUAAAAUUACAUUGUAAAAAUACAUUUAUUAUAUAUUAGGUCCGUUUUUCAUUUCCGUGUGCGUUUUUUGUCGGCGAAAGUCGUUCUAAUAUGCAAAUGCAAUGGGUCCAUUUUCAUGUAACAGGAUCGUUUCCAUGCAACCUGAGAACACACCAUACAUGGAAACAGACCUUAUUACUCCUGCAAUAGUUUAAUAUAUAAAAUAUAAUGUCAUUUAAUAUUAAGGAUUAUUGUUGUGCAAAUAAUUUAUAUACAUUUUACAAACAGAGAUUCCUUAAUAUAGAACAGUAUUCUGAAUUAAUGAAUUACAUUAGUAUAUGGUUUCUCCUACCUAGUGGUAGUAAACAUAGAAAUAUAUGUACUGGCUUUUAGUUUUCUGUUUUAGAGUUUCUGAUUUUAUAGUGAAAUGAAGAUCUGCUUCUUUCUUGUUGAUAUCAGUGGUAUUUCUAUGCAUUCAUAACAACAUAUUUAUAUGUCCGACUUUUAGGCCACAAACUCCCACUUUUUUUCUUUUUUUUAAUUGAAUCAAAGAUGUUAAAUGCAACAGGUAAAUUCUCAUGAAGUCAUAAAACUUUGCCAUGGCUCAUGGUGACAUGAUGAAAGUCAUUAGAGUUACCUCCCAUUGAUAUUCAAUAAUUGAAAUGAUCUACUUAUAUGAAUACAUGUACUAAUUGUUUUUAUGAGAAAGCUCAGUGAUUUAAGCCCUUAAAUAUGUAUGUAUGUAAAAUUCAUAUAUAAAUAUGUCAUCAUCUUCAUUCUGUGUUCAUUUAAA